UACGUAGGGUGCGAGCGUUAAUCGGAAUUACUGGGCGUAAAGCGUGCGCAGGCGGUUUUGUAAGCCAGGUGUGAAAGCCCCGGGCUUAACCUGGGAAUGGCAUUUGGGACUGCAAGGCUGGAGUGUGGCAGAGGAGACUGGAAUUCCUGGUGUAGCAGUGAAAUGCGUAGAUAUCAGGAGGAAUACCGAUGGCGAAGGCAGGUCUCUGGGCUAACACUGACGCUCAUGCACGAAAGCGUGGGGAGCAAACAGG
rnacentral:rRNA from 1 species